rnacentral:rRNA from 1 species
GAGAACGCUGGCGGCAUGCUUCACCACAUGUUAGUUGAACGGGUUUAAGUUUCCUUAAACUUCAAACAAGUAGCGGACGGGUGAGUAACGCGUAAGAACCUACCUUUAGGUAAGGAAUAACUAUUGGAAACGAUAGAUAAUACCUUAUAAAGCUUAUACGUACACAACGAUAAAAUCGCCUAAGGAUGGGCUUGACGUCUGAUUAGCUUGUCUUGGUGAUUUAAACAGAUUCACCAAGGGCAAACGAUCAGUAGUUGGUCUAACGAGGAUGACUCAAGCCACACUGGGACUGAGACACGGCCCAGACCUCUACGGAGGGCAGCAGUGAGGAAUUUUCCGCAAUGGGCGAAAGCCUGACGGAGCAAUGCCGCGUGGAGGAUGAAAGCUAUGUGAGUCGUAAACUCCUUUUACUUAGUGAAGAAAUAAGACGGUAUCUAAGGAAUAAGCAUCGGCUAACAUCCGUGCCAGACAGACCAGCGGUAAUACGGAGGAUGCAAGCGUUAUUCCGGAAUUAUUGGGCGUAAAGACGUCUGUA